rnacentral:rRNA from 1 species
CCUACGGGCGGCAGCAGUCGAGAAUCAUUCACAAUGGGGGAAACCCUGAUGGUGCGACGCCGCGUGGGGGAAUGAAGGUCUUCGGAUUGUAAACCCCUGUCAUGUGGGAGCAAAUUAAAAAGAUAGUACCCCAAGAGGAAGAGACGGCUAACUCUGUGCCAGCAGCCGCGGUAAUACAGAGGUCUCAAGCGUUGUUCGGAAUCACUGGGCGUAAAGCGUGCGUAGGCUGUUGCGUAAGUCGUGUGUGAAAGGCGCGGGCUCAACCCGCGGACGGCACAUGAUACUGCGAGACUAGAGUAAUGGAGGGGGAACCGGAAUUCUCGGUGUAGCAGUGAAAUGCGUAGAUAUCGAGAGGAACACUCGUGGCGAAGGCGGGUUCCUGGACAUUAACUGACGCUGAGGCACGAAGGCCAGGGGAGCGAAAGGGAUUAGAUACCCUAGUAGUC